GACGAACGCUGGCGGCGUGCUUAACACAUGCAAGUCGAACGGGCCUUGUCCCCUUUUUUUUUGGGGGUGGGAUUAGUGGCGAACGGGUGAGUAACACGUGAGUAACCUGCCCCUCACUUCUGGAUAACCGCUUGAAAGGGUGGCUAAUACGGGGUGUUCUGGCCUGCUCGCAUGGGUGGGUUUGGAAAGAUUCGACCGGUUUUGGUUGUUUUGGUGGGGGAUGGGCUCGCGGCCUAUCAGCUUGUUGGUGGGGUGAUGGCCUGCCAAGGCUUUGACGGGUAGCCGGCCUGAGAGGGUGGGCGGUCACACUGGGACUGAGACACGGCCCAGACUCCUACGGGAGGCAGCAGUGGGGAAUAUUGCACAAUGGGCGCAAGCCUGAUGCAGCGACGCCGCGUGAGGGAUGGAGGCCUUCGGGUUGUGAACCUCUUUCGCCAGUGAAGAAGGUCCUGCUCUUUGUGGUGGGGUUGACGGUAGCUGGGUUAAUGAAGCGCCGGCUAACUACGUG
rnacentral:rRNA from 1 species